rnacentral:rRNA from 1 species
UACUAGCGGUCCAAGUCGCAGCCACUAUUAUUGGGUCUAAAACAUCCGUAGCUUGCUUGGUAAGUUUCUUGUGAAAUUUGAUAUCUCAAGUAUCAAACGUGCAAGAAGUACUGCUAAGCUAGAGACCGGGAGAAGUGAGAAGUACGUCCGGAGUAGCGGUAAAAUGUGUUAAUCCCGGGCGGACUCACUAUAGCGAAGGCAUCUCACUAGAACGGUUCUGACAGUCAGGGAUGAAGGCUAGGGGCGCAAA